GACCUUCGGGCCUCGCGCUAUCAGAUGAGCCUAGGUCGGAUUAGCUAGUUGGUGAGGUAACGGCUCACCAAGGCGACGAUCCGUAACUGGUCUGAGAGGAUGAUCAGUCACACUGGAACUGAGACACGGUCCAGACUCCUACGGGAGGCAGCAGUGGGGAAUAUUGGACAAUGGGCGAAAGCCUGAUCCAGCCAUGCCGCGUGUGUGAAGAAGGUCUUCGGAUUGUAAAGCACUUUAAGUUGGGAGGAAGGGCAGUUACCUAAUACGUGAUUGUUUUGACGUUACCGACAGAAUAAGCACCGGCUAACUCUGUGCCA
rnacentral:rRNA from 1 species